AACAAGGCGUACCUGCGGACCUGCGGAGGGAUCAUUACAAGUGACCCCGGUCUAACCACCGGGAUGUUCAUAACCCUUUGUUGUCCGACUCUGUUGCCUCCGGGGCGACCCUGCCUUCGGGCGGGGGCUCCGGGUGGACACUUCAAACUCUUGCGUAACUUUGCAGUCUGAGUAAGCUUAAUUAAUAAAUUAAAACUUUUAACAACGGAUCU
rnacentral:misc_RNA from 1 species